rnacentral:rRNA from 1 species
UACGGAGGGUGCAAGCGUUAUCCGGAUUCACUGGGUUUAAAGGGCUCGUAGGUGGCCAACUAAGUCAGACGUUAAAUCCCUCGGCUUAACCGGGGAACUGCGUCUGAUACUGGAUGGCUUGAGAUUGGGAGAGGGAUGCGGAAUUCCAGGUGUAGCGGUGAAAUGCGUAGAUAUCUGGAGGAACACCGGUGGCGAAGGCGGCAUCCUGGACCAACACUGACACUGAGGAGCGAAAGCCAGGGGAGCAAACGGG